CAGUCGCCGCGGGAAUACGUAGGUGGCAAGCGUUGUCCGGAAUUAUUGGGCGUAAAGGGCUCGCAGGCGGUUUCUUAAGUCUGAUGUGAAAGCCCCCGGCUCAACCGGGGAGGGUCAUUGGAAACUGGGAAACUUGAGUGCAGAAGAGGAGAGUGGAAUUCCACGUGUAGCGGUGAAAUGCGUAGAGAUGUGGAGGAACACCAGUGGCGAAGGCGACUCUCUGGUCUGUAACUGACGCUGAGGAGCGAAAGCGUGGGGAGCGAACAGGAUUAGAUACCCGCGUAGUCCCUGUCUCUUAUAC
rnacentral:rRNA from 1 species